rnacentral:tRNA from 1 species
GCGGGUGUAGCUCAGGGGGUAGAGCACAACCUUGCCAAGGUUGGGGUCGGGCGUUCGAAUCGCCUCACCCGCUCCA